rnacentral:rRNA from 1 species
CCGUGCCCAAGAGAUCGGGAUAACACCUGGAAACAGAUGCUAAUACCGGAUAACAACAGAUGAUGCCUAUCAACUGUUUAAAAGAUGGUUCUGCUAUCACUCUUGGAUGGACCUGCGGUGCAUUAGCUAGUUGGUAGGGUAACGGCCUGCCAAGGCGAUGAUGCAUAGCCGAGUUGAGAGACUGAUCGGCCACAUUGGGACUGAGACACGGCCCAAACUCCUCGGGAGGCAGCAGUA